rnacentral:rRNA from 1 species
UACGGGGGGGGCAAGCGUUGUUCGGAAUUACUGGGCGUAAAGGGCGCGUAGGCGGUUCGCUAAGUUGAAUGUGAAAACUCUGGGCUUAACCCAGAGCCUGCAUUCAAUACUGGCGGGCUAGAGUUCUGGAGGGGAUAGCGGAAUUCCUGGUGUAGCGGUGAAAUGCGUAGAUAUCAGGAGGAACACCAAUGGCGAAGGCAGCUCGCUGGGACGGUACUGACGCUGAGGCGCGAAAGCGUGGGGAGCAAACAGG